rnacentral:tRNA from 1 species
AUUUAUAUAGUUUAACCCAAAACAUUACAUUUUCACUGUAAAAAUAAAAAUUUAAUUUUUUAUAAAUA